UUCCGUAGGUGAACCUGCGGAAGGAUCAUUACACUCAGUAGUUUACUACUGUAAAGGAGGCUGUCAGUCUGUAUAGCUUAAUCGCUGAUGAGCAGCUGGUCUCUUUUUCUCCACCCUUGUCUUUUGCGUACCCUUGUUUCCUCGGCAGGCUUGCUUGUCGGUUGGACAAUUCUAUAACCUUUUUAAUUUUCAAUCAGCGUCUGCAAAAACGUAAUAAUUACAACUUUCAACAACGGAUCUCUUGGUUCUGGCAUCGAUGAAGAACGCAGCGAAAUGCGAUAAGUAGUGUGAAUUGCAGAAUUCAGUGAAUCAUCGAAUCUUUGAACGCACAUUGCGCCCCUUGGUAUUCCAUGGGGCAUGCCUGUUCGAGCGUCAUUUGUACCCUCAAGCUUUGCUUGGUGUUGGGUGUUUGUCCACUCCUUGUUGUUUGGACUCGCCUUAAAACAAUUGGCAGCCAGUGUUUUGGUAUGGAAGCGCAGCACAAUUUGCGAUUCUGGCCUAACAACACUUGCGUCCACAAGUCUUUUUAACGCUUGACCUCGGAUCAGGUAGGGAUACCCGCUGAACUUAA
rnacentral:rRNA from 1 species